AUGGGAACGCGAAGAACCUUACCUAGACUUGACAUCUCCUGAAUAGUGUAGAGAUACAUGAAGCCCUUCGGGGCAGGAAGACAGGUGGUGCAUGGUUGUCGUCAGCUCGUGUCGUGAGAUGUUGGGUUAAGUCCCGCAACGAGCGCAACCCUUAUUACUAGUUGCUACCAUUAAGUUGAGCACUCUAGUGAGACUGCCCGGGUUAACCGGGAGGAAGGCGGGAAUGACGUCAAAUCAUCAUGCCCCUUAUGUCUAGGGCAACACACGUGCUACAAUGGUGAGUACAGAUAGAUGCGAUACCGCAAGGUGGAGCCAAACUCUAAAACUCAUCCCAGUUCGGAUUGUAGGCUGCAACUCGCCUACAUGAAGUUGGAGUUGCUAGUAAUCGCGAAUCAGAAUGUCGCGGUGAAUACGUUCCCGGGUCUUGUACACACCG
rnacentral:rRNA from 1 species